rnacentral:rRNA from 1 species
UGAUUUGNNAGCUUGCUCAGAUAUGACGAUGGACAUUGCAAAGAGUGGCGAACGGGUGAGUAACACGUGGGAAACCUACCUCUUAGCAGGGGAUAACAUUUGGAAACAGAUGCUAAUACCGUAUAACAAUAGCAACCGCAUGGUUGCUACUUAAAAGAUGGUUCUGCUAUCACUAAGAGAUGGUCCCGCGGUGCAUUANNUANNUGGUGAGGUAAUGGCUCACCAAGACGAUGAUGCAUAGCCGAGUUGAGAGACUGAUCGGCCACAAUGGGACUGAGACACGGCCCAUACUCCUACGGGAGGCAGCAGUAGGGAAUCUUCCACAAUGGGCGAAAGCCUGAUGGAGCAACGCCGCGUGUGUGAUGAAGGGUUUCGGCUCGUAAAACACUGUUGUAAGAGAAGAAUGACAUUGAGAGUAACUGUUCAAUGUGUGACGGUAUCUUACCAGAAAGGAACGGCUAAAUACGUGCCAGCAGCCGCGGU